rnacentral:sRNA from 2 species
CAACAAAAAAAGCUGAAUCUAGAGUCUGCUCUAGAGCGGGGGAUUUUACUUCUGAUAUUGGGGUGAAUCGCUUCCAUGCGUAGGGCUAUACCUGCUGCCCGAAUCCGUCAACUAACCUCGUAAGCUAUGAAAGGUGAAGAA